rnacentral:rRNA from 1 species
GGUGAGUAACGCGUAUCCAACCUUCCCAUGACCACGGGAUAACCCGUUGAAAGACGGACUAAUACCGUAUGACGUCGUUUGCUGACAUCAAAUAACGAUUAAAGGUUUAGCGGUGAUGGAUGGGGAUGCGUCUGAUUAGCUUGUUGGCGGGGUAACGGCCCACCAAGGCGACGAUCAGUAGGGGUUCUGAGAGGAAGGUCCCCCACAUUGGAACUGAGACACGGUCCAAACUCCUACGGGAGGCAGCAGUGAGGAAUAUUGGUCAAUGGGCGAGAGCCUGAACCAGCCAAGUAGCGUGCAGGAUGACGGCCCUAUGGGUUGUAAACUGCUUUUAUGCGGGGAUAAAGUGCGCGACGUGUCGUGCAUUGCAGGUACCGCAUGAAUAAGGACCGGCUAAUUCCGUGCCAGCAGCCGCGGUAAUACGGAAGGUCCGGGCGUUAUCCGGAUUUAUUGGGUUUAAAGGGAGCGUAGGCCGCCAGGUAAGCGUGUUGUGAAAUGUACCGGCUCAACCGGUGAAUUGCAGCGCGAACUGUCUGGCUUGAGUGCACGGUAAGCAGGCGGAAUUCAUGGUGUAGCGGUGAAAUGCUUAGAUAUCAUGAAGAACUCCGAUUGCGAAGGCAGCUUGCUGCAGUGCGACUGACGCUGAUGCUCGAAGGUGCGGGUAUCAAACAGGAUUAGAUACCCUGGUAGUCCGCACGGUAAACGAUGGAUGCCCGCUGUCCGCCCUUUUGUGGCGGGUGG